rnacentral:lncRNA from 1 species
GUUGUGAAUUUGGCUUUUGUUACGACUAACCAAAUUCUCCCCAAGACACUAAUUUUGUAUCAAAUGGUUUGAGAAUUAACAGCACAGAUUAUCCAGCAACAAAUCACACGCAAGAACCAAAGCAUUAAAGAAACAAUAUGACACCAAGUAUAAGUGGUUCAGCACCAAGAGGUGGUGCCUACAUCCACUGGAAACAAAGCAACAGUCUUUCACUAUUUAGUUCACAAAACAAUACAAGAAUAGGAAUUGAUUUACAGAGAACAAGAACUUGUAAACCCCUUUCUCUCUCUAUCUUCUCUCUACUCUCUGUGUUUCCCAAAUCAUGUGUAGACGAUGACAGAGCCUGCACCUUUUAACCUCUGUUUCUAGGUUGUUACAGUAACUACCCUUCCCGCCAAAACUAACCAAGAAGCUCCUCUCUCACGUGCUUGUCACAAGUUGGCAUAAGUGAGCUUGAAACGGCAAUCACAGAUGUCGUUCUUGAGCUAACGAGAUUUCAGCUUCACCACACGUGCAAAUCACGUGUAUUACUUAAAGGUUGAAUGACCAAUGAGAGGAUGUCGGUUUUACUCUGAAGAACUCCUCAAGCGACAAGUCGGCUGAGACUGAAUCCUCUAAACGACUUGUAGCACUUGAGUUUCGAGUUCACUGUUUAUCAAUCUCCACCUUGAACUCAGAACUCUAGCUACUCCUAUUUACUUCAUUCCCUUCCCUUUGCAGCUAAUCAGAAGCUGCAAAUCCCUGCUAAGCUCAAACAGAAGUUGAGCUUGGCAGAUGGCACAGCUUUAGUCAACAUAUCAGCUGGAUUUUGAUCAGUGUGAACCUUGAGCAUCUUCACAGUUCCCUUGGAAACUUCAAGUCUAACAAAAUGCAGCUUUACAUCGAUAUGUUUUGUUCUUUCAUGAUAGGUCUGGUUUUUACUCAAAUGUAUUGCACUCUGGCUAUCACAAUAUACUUCAACUGUUUCUUGUUUUGCUCCUAACUCAGGGACCAUUCUUUUUAACCAGAUGGCUUCCUUAAAAGCUUCUGCAGCUGCUGUAUAUUCGGCUUCAGUUGUGGACAAAGCUACCACACUUUGCAGUGUAGCUUUCCAGUUCACAGUGCAGCCUCCCAAAGUGAAUAUAAAACCUGUCUGAGACCUCAUUUUAUCAAGAUCUCCAGCGAAAUCUGAGUCAACAUACCCCACUAGCUUGUGCCCUUCCUGUUUUAACCCUCCAUAUAGCAGACCAAACUCCAUAGUGCCUUUCAGGUUCCUCAUUAUCCAUUGGACUGCCCUCCAAUGCUCAUAACCUGGAUUUGCCAUGAAUCUACUCACUACACUCACAGCAUGUGAGAUAUCAGGUCUAGUGAGAACCAUGGCAUACAUUAGACUCCCAACUGCACUGGAGUAAGGUAUCCUUGCCAUUUUUCCUUGCUCUGCAUCAGUUUAUGGACACUGUGCAGCAGACAGCUUGAAGUGAUUUGCCAAAGGUGUUUGAACAGACUUAGAUUCAUGCAUCCCAAACCUAAGUAACACCUUUUUAACAUAGCCCUGUUGGGUUAGAAACAUAAGCUUCCUUCUCUUGUCUCUGAUAAUUUCCAUACCUAAGAUCUUCCUUGUAGCUCCAAGAUCUUUCAUAUCGAAUUCACUGCUCAAGAGGUCCUUUAAAUGACUGAUUUCAUUUAUGUUGUGACAUGCUAUAAGCAUGUCAUCCACAUACAGCAUAAGAUAAAUCAUCUUUCCAUCAUCAAUGUCCUUAAAGUACACGCAACAAUCAUAAUUGCUUCUCUUAUAGGCAUGCUUUGUCAUAAAACUAUCAAACUUCAAGUACCAUUGCCUAGGAGACUGCUUUAAUCCAUAUAAAGAUUUCUUUAGUAAGCACACAUGAUCUUCCUUGCCAGACACCACAUACCCCUCAGGCUGCUCCAUUACAAUUUCUUCUUGUAAUUCACCAUGCAGAAAGGCUGUUUUAACAUCCAUCUGCUCUAGGUACAUGUCUUGAAUGGCAACUAAAGCUAAGAUGACUCUGAUGGAGGCAUGUUUCACAACUGGAGAGAAGAUUUCAUUGAAAUCAAUCCCCUCUCUUUGUGUGAAACCUCUUGCUACCAGCCUAGCCUUAAACCUACUAGGUUCAGCAUCAAAUAUCCCUUCCUUAAUUUUGAAGAUCCAUUUGCAGCUAACAGUCUUCCUUUUCUCUGGUCUAACUAUCAAUUUCCAAGUUCCAUUUUUCAUCAGUGAUUCAAUUUCCUCAUCCAUAGCCUUCUUCCAUUUCAGCUUAUCCCUGUUGUUUAUAGCUUCUUUAUAGGUUCUUGGCUCUUCUUCAUUUACCUCUUGUGCAGCUGUUAAUGCAUAAGCUAUCAAAUCUGCUACUGCAUACCUCUUAGGUGGUCUUACAGCUCUCCUCUUUCUAUCCCUGACCAACUGAUAAGAGUUAUUUUCAUUCUCAGCUGGCUCUGACUCUUGAACACCAUCAGAUCCAUCAGUAACCCUUCCUGCAUCUUCUUCAGUUUCUGAUUCAGUCAUAUCUUGCUCAUAGGACUCCACCUCAAACUGAAUACUCCCAGGUCUUGUUUCUGAUCUAUACUCUUUGGAUUCAGUGGCUUUGGAAUUGUUCAAGAUUUCUGACUCAUUGAAAGUUACAUCCCUGCUGAUAAUGCAUUUUGGUGGCUUCAGAUCAAUGCACCAUAGCCUAUAGCCUUUAACUCCAUCAGGGUAUCCCAGAAAUCUACACUUUAAGGCUCUUGGCUCCAAUUUGCCUUGUUUGACAUGUGCAUAAGCAACACAGCCAAAGAUUCUUAGUUUAGAGUAAUCUGUAACCCUUCCAGACCAUAGCUCGAUAGGUGUUUUGCAUUCUAUUGCUGUAGAUGGGCUUCUAUUUACCAGGUAGCAUGCUGUGUUUAAGGCCUCUGCCCAGAGUGACUUAGGCAGCUUUGAGUAUAGCAGUAUACACCUCACCUUGUCCAUUAAGGUUCUGUUCAUUCUCUCAGCAAGACCAUUUUGCUGAGGUGUGUGUAUGACUGUUUUGUGCCUCAUAAUCCCAUGUCUUUCACAGAAGUCCCCAAACUCUUUAUUGCAGAAUUCCAUUCCAUUAUCUGUUCUUAGAGCUUUUACUUUCAAACUUGUUUGUGUUUCUACCAGAAUUUUCCACCUCUUGAACCUUUCCAAAACUUCAUCUUUGGUUUUGAGUACAUACACCCAAACCAUCCUUGAAUAGUCAUCUAUUAGGGAUAAAAAAUACCUACAGCCACCAAGGGAAUCUACCUGUGCAGGUCCCCACAGAUCAGAGUGUAUAUAUGCAAGCCUCUCUUUGGUAGAAUGAACUGCAGAUUCAAACUUGAGCCUGGAAGCCUUCCCUAGAAUACAGUCUUCACAGAACCCCAAAGAACUUAGCUUGUCACUUCCAAACACCCCCUUCUUUUGAAGCUCCUUCAGUCCUCUCUCACUCAUGUGCCCCAACCUCAAGUGCCAUAGUUUUGCUUUAUCUUCACUCUUCUCAGUGACACUUGCCUCUCCAACAGUUGUAUGUCCAUUAAGCACAUACAAACCAUUUUGCUUGGUACCUUUCAUUAUGACUAUUGAGCCUCUGGUAACUUUCAAUGUCCCAUUUUCAGCCUUAAUGACACAUCCAGUUUGAUCAAGCAUGCCAAUAGAUAUUAGGUUCUUUUUAAAUUCAGGAACAUGUCUAACCUGAGUCAGUUCUCUAACCAUGCCAUCAUACAUCUUAAGGCUUACAGUCCCAAUCUCAACUACUUUACAAACUGAAUUAUUUCCCAUCAGCACCAUACCCCCAUCACAGGACUGAUAUGUAGUAAAGUAAUUUCUAUUUGGACUCAUAUGAAAAGUACAUCCAGAGUCUAGUACCCACUGACCUUGAGUUUUUUCUUUUGUGGCAAUGAGGACUUCAGCUGUCUCAAAACUGGUUUCUUCUGUGGCUAUUGCUGCAUUUCCAGAUUUGUCUUUUGGUUCCUUUUGUUUUGUUUUUCUCUCAGGGCAAUCCCUCUUGAAAUGCCCUUCUUUGUGGCAGUGAAAACACUUCAAGUGUUUUUGCUUUGACUUUGAUCUUCCUUGCUUCUUUCCUUUGUACUCUUUUUUUUCAGAUCUUCCCCUUGCCAUCAGCCCUUCACUUGAUUCACUCUCUGAGUUAUCUUGUUUGUCUUUUAACUUUUUGGUACCAAGAGCAGAUUUAACCUCUUCCAAGGAGAGUGAUUGCCUUCCAUAUAACAAGGCAUCCACAAAAUGUUCAUACGAUUUUGGUAAAGAACUGAUUAACAGCAAAGCCUUGCUCUCAUCACUCAGUCAUUCAUCAAUUGUUUCCAGUUCAUCACAAACUUUAUUAAACUCAUCUAUGUGUUCAUCAAGUGAUGCUCCUUCAAUCAUCCUCAGUGAAAACAUCUUUUUCUUGAUGUAUAGCCUGUUUGCUAAAGACUUUGUCAUAUACAAUUGUUCCAGUUUUGCCCAGAGCCCAGCAACAGUCUUUUCCUUUGCAACUUCCCUUAUCACUGAGUCACCAAGACUGAGGAUGAUAGUGCUUCUUGCCUUUUUGUCAAUCUCAGCCAUCUGUUCUGGAGUUCUUGAAGAAGAAGCUUCUGCAUUUCCACUCUUGAUGACUGGAUCAAUGGCAUCUCCCAGACCUUGUGUGAUUAACAAUGCUUCCAUCUUGAUCCUCCACAUAUUGAAGUCAUUCUGACCCGUGAACUUCUCAAGAUCCACCUUGUUUGUCAUUUCUUGAACCUUGAUACAGAAAAGAGGGCUCUGAUACCAAUUUGUUGUGAAUUUGGCUUUUGUUACGACUAACCAAAUUCUCCCCAAGACACUAAUUUUGUAUCAAAUGGUUUGAGAAUUAACAGCACAGAUUAUCCAGCAACAAAUCACACGCAAGAACCAAAGCAUUAAAGAAACAAUAUGACACCAAGUAUAAGUGGUUCAGCACCAAGAGGUGGUGCCUACAUCCACUGGAAACAAAGCAACAGUCUUUCACUAUUUAGUUCACAAAACAAUACAAGAAUAGGAAUUGAUUUACAGAGAACAAGAACUUGUAAACCCCUUUCUCUCUCUAUCUUCUCUCUACUCUCUGUGUUUCCCAAAUCAUGUGUAGACGAUGACAGAGCCUGCACCUUUUAACCUCUGUUUCUAGGUUGUUACAGUAACUACCCUUCCCGCCAAAACUAACCAAGAAGCUCCUCUCUCACGUGCUUGUCACAAGUUGGCAUAAGUGAGCUUGAAACGGCAAUCACAGAUGUCGUUCUUGAGCUAACGAGAUUUCAGCUUCACCACACGUGCAAAUCACGUGUAUUACUUAAAGGUUGAAUGACCAAUGAGAGGAUGUCGGUUUUACUCUGAAGAACUCCUCAAGCGACAAGUCGGCUGAGACUGAAUCCUCUAAACGACUUGUAGCACUUGAGUUUCGAGUUCA